GUAGUCGUGGCCGAGUGGUUAAGGCGACAGACUUGAAAUCUGUUGGGAUAUUCCCGCGCAGGUUCAAAUCCUGCCGACUACG
rnacentral:tRNA from 2 species